GGAGGAAGGUGGGGAUGACGUCAAAUCAUCAUGCCCCUUAUGAUUUGGGCUACACACGUGCUACAAUGGACAAUACAAAGGGCAGCGAAACCGCGAGGUCAAGCAAAUCCCAUAAAGUUGUUCUCAGUUCGGAUUGUAGUCUGCAACUCGACUACAUGAAGCUGGAAUCGCUAGUAAUCGUAGAUCAGCAUGCUACGGUGAAUACGUUCCCGGGUCUUGUACACACCGCCCGUCACACCACGAGAGUUUGUAACACCCGAAGCCGGUGGAGUAACCUUUUAGGAGCUAGCCGUCGAAGGUGGGACAAAUGAUUGGGGUGAAGUCGUAACAAGGUAGCCGUAUCGGAAGGUGCGGCUGGAUCACCUCCUUU
rnacentral:rRNA from 1 species